rnacentral:rRNA from 1 species
GUUACACAUGCAACUCGAACGGUAGCAGGAGGAAGCUUGCUUUCUUGCUGACGAGUGGCGGACGGGUGAGUAAUGCUUGGGAAUCUGGCUUAUGGAGGGGGAUAACUACUGGAAACGGUAGCUAAUACCGCGUAAUAUCGAGAGAUUAAAGGGUGGGACUUUCGGGCCACCUGCCAUAAGAUGAGCCCAAGUGGGAUUAGGUAGUUGGUGGGGUAAAGGCCUACCAAGCCUGCGAUCUCUAGCUGGUCUGAGAGGAUGGCCAGCCACACUGGAACUGAGACACGGUCCAGACUCCUACGGGAGGCAGCAGUGGGGAAUAUUGCACAAUGGGGGGAACCCUGAUGCAGCCAUGCCGCGUGAAUGAAGAAGGCCUUCGGGUUGUAAAGUUCUUUCGGUGAUGAGGAAGGUGUUUUGUUUAAUAGACAAGGCAAUUGACGUUAGUCACAGAAGAAGCACCGGCUAACUCCGUGCCAGCAGCCGCGGUAAUACGGAGGGUGCGAGCGUUAAUCGGAAUAACUGGGCGUAAAGGGCACGCAGGCGGAUUGUUAAGUGAGAUGUGAAAGCCCCGAGCUUAACUUGGGAAUUGCAUUUCAGACUGGCAGUCUAGAGUAUUUUAGGGAGGGGUAGAAUUCCACGUGUAGCGGUGAAAUGCGUAGAGAUGUGGAGGAAUACCGAAGGCGAAGGCAGCCCCUUGG